rnacentral:rRNA from 1 species
GACGAACGCUGGCGGCGUGCCUAAUACAUGCAAGUCGAACGCAGUGGGGACGGGUGAGUAACACGUGGGUAACCUCCCAUCAGAGGGGAUCACACUUGGAAACAGGUGCUAAACCGAUACUGAUGGCUGGACCCGCGGUGCAUUAGCUAGUUGGUGAGGUAACGGUUCACCAAGGCGACGAUGCAUAGCCGGCCUGAGAGGGUGAUCUGCCACACUGGGACUGAGACACGGCCCAGACUCCUACGGGAGGCAGCAGUGGGGAAUAUUGCACAAGGGGCGCAAGCCUGAUGCAGCCAUGCCGCGGGUAUGAAGAAGGCCUUCGGGUUGUAAAGUACUUUCAGCGGGGAGGCGUUACCCGCAGAAGAAGCACCGGCUAACUCCGUGCCAGCAGCCGCGGUAAUUC